UAAGGAAUAUUGGUCAAUGGACGGAAGUCUGAACCAGCCAUGCCGCGUGGAGGAUGAAGGCCCUCUGGGUUGUAAACUUCUUUUAUCUGGGACGAAACACUCUUUAUCUAAUGAGCUUGACGGUACCAGAUGAAUAAGCACCGGCUAACUCCGUGCCAGCAGCCGCGGUAAUACGGAGGGUGCAAGCGUUAUCCGGAUUCACUGGGUGUAAAGGGUGCGUAGGCGGAUUUGUAAGUCCGUGGUGAAAUCUCUAAGCUUAACUCGGAAAUUGCCGUGGAUACUGUAAGUCUUGAGUAUUGUGGAGGUAAGCGGAAUAUGUCAUGUAGCGGUGAAAUGCAUAGAUAUGACAAAGAACACCAAUGGCGAAGGCAGCUGGCUACACAACUAUUGACGCUGAGGCACGAAAGCGUGGGGAUCAAACA
rnacentral:rRNA from 1 species